CCUAAUACAUGCAAGUCGAGCGGUAACAAGGGAGCUUGCUCCCUGAUGGUAGCGGCGGACGGGUGAGUAACACGUGUGUAACCUGCCUGUAAGACUGGGAUAACUCCCGGAAACCGGGGCUAAUACCGGAUGGUUGUCUGAACCGCAUGGUUCAGACAUAUAAGGUGGCUUCGGCUACCACUUGCCCAUGGACCCGCGGCGCAUUAGCGAGUUGGUGAGGCACCGGCUCACCAAGGCCACGAUGCGUAGCCAACCUGAGAGGGUGAUCGGCCACACUGAGACUGACACAAGUCCCACACUCCUACGGGAGGCAGCAAAUUGGAAUCUUCCGCAAUGGACGAAAGUCUGACGGAGCGAGGGCGCGUGAGUGAUUAAGGUUUUCAAAUCCUUUAUCUCUGUUGUAAGGGAAGAACGUGUGCCGUUCAGUUAUGUCGGCACCUUGACAGAAAAUAACCAGAAAGCCACUGUUAACUACGUGCCGGCAACCUCGAUAGUACGUACGUGGUUAGCGUUGUCCGGACUUAUUGCGCACACAGGGGUCGAAUGCGGUUUCAUAUGUCUGAUCUGCACGCCCCCGGCUCAAAGCGUUAGGGACAUUGGAAACAGAGGCAAUGUGAAUAGGGAAAA
rnacentral:rRNA from 1 species